rnacentral:rRNA from 1 species
UACGUAGGGUGCGAGCGUUAAUCGGAAUUACUGGGCGUAAAGCGUGCGCAGGCGGUGCGCCAAGCUCGAUGUGAAAUCCCCGGGCUUAACCUGGGAAUGGCAUUUGGGACUGCAAGGCUGGAGUGUGGCAGAGGAGACUGGAAUUCCUGGUGUAGCAGUGAAAUGCGCAGAUAUCAGGAGGAACACCGAUGGCGAAGGCGGUCUCUGGGGCCGAUACUGACGCUGAGGAGCGAAAAGCGUGGGGAGCGAACAGG